AGUGAACGCUGGCGGCGUGCUUAACACAUGCAAGUCGAACGAGAACGGGAUAUAGCUUGCUAUAUUUGUCAGCUAAGUGGCGCACGGGUGAGUAAUGUAUAGGUAAUAUGCCUCUUACUAAGGGAUAACAAUUGGAAACGAUUGCUAAUACCUUAUAUGCCUUUAAGAAUAAAGUCUGCAAGGGAAAGAUUUAUUGGUAAGAGAUUAGCCUGUAUUGUAUCAGCUAGUUGGUGAGGUAAUGGCUCACCAAGGCUAUGACGCAUAACUGGUUUGAGAGGAUGAUCAGUCACACUGGAACUGAGACACGGUCCAGACCCCUACGGGAGGCAGCAGUGGGGAAUAUUGCACAAUGGACGAAAGUCUGAUGCAGCAACGCCGCGUGGAGGAUGACACAUUUCGGUGCGUAAACUCCUUUUAUAUAGGAAGAUAAUGACGGUACUAUAUGAAUAAGCACCGGCUAACUCCGUGCCAGCCGCCGCUUAA
rnacentral:rRNA from 1 species